CCGCUCAGGCUCCUCUUUAGCUCAUUCACUUGUCAGAAUAGUUUCGACCACUUUACCGCUGAUGGAGGCGGUCACAUGGUGAUUAUUUGUCAUCUAUUUUCACACCAUGACAGCUUUUAGACAGUCAAAAUUUGUAUUAAAAUGAUUUAUUUAUCAGUUUCCUGAUAAUUUGUACUAAACAUCCUACAAUGUACUAAUAAAUAUGUCUUUAUUGUUUAUUUCUUUAAAAUUCUUUGUUUGAAAGUUCAACAACAUCCAAAAACAAUGGUUCCCAAUCCCAGGGUCAGGGCUCCAAUCCGAAUCAUCAAACACUGGUGAGGACAGUCAGAUAAUAAUUAAACAAGGCCUGGGACGAUAACAAAUUUUGCUGGACGAUAUAUUGUCCAACAAAUUAUUGACAAUAAACGAUAUUAUUGUGGACAUUACUGAGACCAAAAGAACCACUUAUGUAAUGUUAAUCUCAUAAUUAUGCAAGAACACCCUUUAAAAUGUGUCAAUUAAACCUUUAUUCAACAUUGGAAUGCCCAGACCCAGAACUUCUAAAUAAAUAAAUAAAACAAACAAAUAAAUAAAUGAAAAAGGACUUUCACUCUAUGUUAGAAAAUAUUGCAACAAAACAAUAAAAUAGAUCUUGUCUCUUCAAAACAAUAAAUAAAAUGGCCUAUCCAGUGUCAACCAAAACUGUAACCAUAAUGAUAAAUAAUAAUAAUAAUAAUAAUAGAGUUGUACAUGUCUUAACUUCGAUAUAUUGAGGCUGGAAAAAUUGAGUAAAUUUUCAUUGAUUAAUUGAUUUAUUGGUUAUUGUCCCAGCCCUAAAUGUAAUCAUUAAAAUAGUUGUUAUAAAGGUAUAGAAAGACUCACAGUUAUUUAGGUAAAGCCCAUCUUCAUUUGAAUGGAUUCAAGUUUUUUUUUUCAAUUCAAGUUUAUUCAUAAAGCGCGAAAUCACGACAAGAGUCGUCUCAAGGACCUUCACACGGUAAACAUUCCAGUCCAGGUCAGUUCAUUAAGCCAAUCAGAAAAAAGUUUAAGCAGCUAAGCAGCCAUCCACCACAACUCACUGGGGAUCAAGAAGACAGAGCACACACACACACACACACACACACACACACACACACACACACACACACACACACACACACACACACACACACACACAAAGACAAGUAAUGUGUAUAGUUAUAUUGUGAUUACAUAGUAAAUAUUCUAUUUGGUGAAAGAUAAACUUUAUUGUAUUUAUCCUAGUGAAUCUAUAAUUAAACAGGUAAACUAGUAGUAGCACAUCCAACGUCAAGGAAAGCAAAAAGUUAUUAUCAGGAGAGGGAGAAUGUUUAAGCAGCAGUGUGCUAGACGAUGGCUCCCUCCAUGAGGCCACCACAGCUCAGCAGAACAUCGUUGUAGCUUCUUCUGGGGAGAAAAACACUUAGAGAGAAAAUAAAGUUAACAGCUGAAAUUGCAGAAAAUAAUACAGUUAAAGAGCAGACUGUAGAAGAAAGUUAGCCUGGUGAACUAGACCAAAUUCUUGCUUUGCAAAGUUUGUAGGAAUGCUCCACUGGAACUUCUGCAGCCCCAACAGCAUUCUGGCUGGCCAAUCACAGUUCUCUAGAGGGGUUUCAAACACAUAAAGAGCUGUGAUUGGUCCAUAAUGGUGGGCCAAUCAUAGUGCUCUAUCUGCUUAGUGAACAAAUCACAGAGCUUUAUCCGCUUUGUGGGCCAAUCAGGGCACUCUAUAUGCCUGGUGGGUGGGAUGAUGCAACAGAAUGAAGCAAGAGUAUGUCACAUUCAUUGUCCAGUGGAAUGUGGAGAUCAUUUGAAAGACAACGGUAGAUCCCACCCCACAACCGAGAGCCGUCCAUGGAGCGUGGCCAGACUAAAUAAAACAUUUAUUUAGUCUGGCUUGCCAGGCUAGAAGAAAGUUGUAGAGUGUGAAAAGUGGUCAGUGAAUCCUCCAGCACUCUAAAGCCGGGUGUACACUGUGCAACUUUUUCACUUUUUUGAGCCGAUUUUCCACUCCUGCGAGAAUCCACAAGAUCGGGGCGAGUUUUGCGCCGAGAUGUCGUGUAGUAUACGGGGGUUACGAGAGGCGAUUAACACCACGUGACCAGCUACCGAUCAGCAAUUUUGAGCUCGCUCAGACUUCUGGCGUGUUUAAUAUUUUGCUCGUCCCUCGUGAGGGUAUCGCACUGUUGAAGCGGCGCUGCGAGCAGCUGCGACCCAAAAAGUAUCAGAACCGCUCACGACGCAUGCGCAAUCCUGCAUCAACACCGCCCGCUCGCUAUUUCCCUAAUAACACACGCUGUUCGUUUUAAUUUCUACACGUUUUAUUACUCACAAGGAUUGUCAAGAAAGCGUGUUUGUCUUGUUCAUGUCAAAUUAAACUGACCACAAAACACAGAUUUACUUUAUUUCAUUUUCCUCAUCCAACCCCCAUAAAUCCCUGUGUGUCCUCCUGCAGCACUCCCGAAGGACAACAGGCAAGACAGGACAAAAAAGUCUGACGUGUUGAGUAAAAACUGCUAUUUUUAGCAUAUUUUUAGGGCCGACAUGUUGCUACCAGACCUACAGUGUGAGCGCCUGGCUCGUGAGAUCUGCCCUGCGAGGAAGUCGUACAGUUUGAGCUGAAGCUGAGUGCUAUGAGUGAAAAAGUCGCACAGUGUCCGCCCGGCUUAAGCCUAUAGCAGCAUAACUACAGAGAUAACUCUGAAUAACCUAGCCUUUUAGAUGGAGGCAUGUUGGAGGCAGGGCAAGAGAGAGCCGUCUUUACCGACAGAAGAAGAAGAAGAAAAUAUCAUUUCUAUAGCGCCUCUCAAGAUAAAAAUCACGAGGCGCUACACAAAAACAAAAAAUGUAAAAAUAUAAAAAAGCAUUUAGAAAAUGUUUAAAAAUAUAUUUAAAAUGAGCAAAAAUAGACAAUUGUGAUUAAAAAGAAAAAAUGUUAAGAAAGAGAGAGAGUGAACAGGAAAAAGGGAAAAUCAGUGGAUCCUGAGGAAGGUGGAAUAGGUGGGGAGAGCAGAAUAAAGAGAGAGUGGUGAAGAAGGUCAUACAAAAGCCAGCUUGAACAGGUGAGUCUUCAGCUGCUUUUUAAAGGAGACCACUGAGUCCACUGAUCUCAGGCUCAGGGGGAGAGAGGUCCAGAGUCUGGGGGCCACAGCAGCAGAUGAUCUGUCACCUUUGGUCUUUAGCCUGGUGCUGCACAACCAGUAGGCUUUGAUCACUGGACCUCAGGGACCUGCUGGGGGUGUAGGGACUAAGAAGAUCACCAAUGUAAGAUGGUGCUUGUCCAUGUAAGGCCCUAUAGACCAGAACCAGGAUCUUGAAAUUAACCCUGAAGGUGACUGGCAGCCAGUGAAGCUGGAGGAGAAACGGGGUGAUGUGGGUGUAUUUGGAGGACUUGGUCAGAAGCCGAGCACAGGCGUUCUGAACCACCUGUAGACGGUUCAGGGAGGUUCUGCUCAGACACGUGAAAAGAGAGUUACAGUAGUCUUAAGCCUGGUUUAUGCUUCUCCGUCAGCUCCGCAAGGGACAGACACGCACGGAUUGACGGAAGCGUUUUGCUCUCAUACUUCUCCGUCUCCUGGAGAGUGUUGCAAAGCAACUGCCCGGCAGGACAACAGAGGGCGUAGCGCUGUUCUGUGGCAUCCUGUCAUGUAUCGGUCCAAGAUCGUGUGUUUAUAUUGUGUUUUUGUGUAUAUAAGAGACUUUUAACACGGACAUAUUUGUCUCUCAUUCUCCCACCGCUUCAUGCGCUCCCCACCUCUAAACCCACGUUUCCUGUCAUUUCCGUCCACAAAUAAGACGCUUGCUGCGCAUCUUUUCACUCCUCCAGUCACGGGAGAAUUAAACGUUCAUAUUUUUAGAGUUUUUUCGCGAGAUAUUCUUCAAGCUUCUCCGUGUCUGCCGCUUGUUAUCCUCGGCUCUCUUUGCAAUGGCGGCGCUGUAAACAACAGCGGUGUCCUGACCAAUCACAAGCUUGCGUAAUCCGUCUCGUUUGACGGAUGUUUAAAAAAGUGGGCUCGACUCCGUACGUACGUGCGUGCCGUACGCAAGGACGAAUAAUGGCGUUGCGUGUCUCCGCACUGACGCAGACGGAGAAGCAUAAAUCAGGCUUAAGCGUGAGGAGAUGAAGGUGUGGAGAACUGUCUCAAGUUCAGAGCGGGACAGAAUGGGACUCAGCUUAGCAAUGUUCCUGAGAUGGAAGAAGGAAGAGCGAACAAGAGAACUGACAUGAGAAUCCAGGGUGAGAGCUGGGUCAAAGGUCACGCCAAGAUUCCUGACGGAAGGUUUGUUGUGAGAGGCAAGCUGACCAAGAGAGUCUCUGACUUUGGGAACCAGCUUGUCUGGGGCACAGAUGAGGAUCUCAGUCUUAUCUUCAUUCAGCUGAAGAAAGCUCCCACCAUCCAGGUUUUGAUAGAGUCUAAGCAGGUCUGUAACAGCUGAAGCUUAGACAUCUCAUGGGGCUUAAAGGAGAUGUACAGUUGGAUGUCAUCUGCAUAAAGAUGAUAGGAGAUUCCUUUGAAGGAGCUCAGGAUGUGCUGAAGAGGAAGCAGAUAGAGGAGGAAGAGCAGAGGCCCCAGCACAGAACCUUGUGGGACACCAUGGGUAAGGGAGGUGGUGGAGGACCUAAACUUGGAGACGGCCACGGAAAAGGAGCGCUCAGAGAGAUAAGAGGAGAACCACUCCAGAGCAGAUCCUGAUAGGCCUACCCAGUCUUUCAGCCUCUCCAGUAGCAGGUGAUGGUCAACAGUGUCAAAGGCUGCAGUCAGGUCCAGCAGGACCAGAACAGAACAGUCCCCUGCAUCACUGUGAGUCAGAAGGUCAUAGAGACCCUAAGAAGAGCUGUUUCAGUAGAAUGAGCUCUACAAAAACCUGUCUGGAAGCUAUCAUAGAUGUUAUGUUCAUCAAGAACAGCUGUGAGUUGUUUAGCCACAACCUUUUCCAAGAUCUUGGAGAUGAACGGAAGUUUAGAGAUGGGUCUGAAGCUGCUAUGGAGAGAGGGGUCGAGACUCGGUUUUUUAAGAAGCGGGUGGAUUACAGCGUUCUUAAAGUAAGCAGGGACCUGACCAGAGACCAGAGAAGCAUUAAUUAUAGAGAGCACGCUGGGACCGAUGGACUGAAAAGCACUUUUAAACAAAGAUGAGGGUAAGAUGUGGAGGGGGCAUGCAGAGGUCUUCAUAGAGUUAACUAGUUUGGUUAACUCAGGCAAAGAAACAGGAGCAAAGCUAUCUAGGAUGAUGGGCCUGGUUGGAGUCGGGAGAGGCAGCGAUAAGGCUGAAGGAGAGAUGCUAGAUCUAACCUUAUUGACUUUGUCCACAAAGAAAGACAGAAAGUUCUCACAGUCUGCAACAGAGUGGAUGGAGGCUGUAGGAGAGGCAGGAGAGACGAUGCUGCUGAUGGUGUUAAACAGCACCUUGGGGUUCCCUUUGCUCUGGGACACCAGGUUGGAGAAUUAGGAAACCCUAGCGUCUCUGACUGCAGAGUUAAAGGAUGUCAGAAGAUCCUUUAGGUGCAGCAGAUGGACGUGGAGAUGGGUUUUCUUCCACAAACGCUCAAUUUUUCUGCAUUGGCGCUUCAGGCUGCGAAGGCUGUCAUUAAACCAGGGAGUAGGGUUCACUGCAGGAACUGAUCUGGUUCUGAAAGGACAGAUGUUGUCCAGAAUGGAGAGGCAGUGCUCGUUGAACUGAGAUGUUAAGGAAUCUGGGUUGUUAUCAGAAGAACACGGUGGAUCAAAAGCAGCAGAAAAAUUGCUAGCUGUGCUCUCAUUAAGAAAACGAGAACUAACCAUACGGCGAGCAAAAUAUAUAAUAUAUUAAUAUAUAAGACAUACAACAUCCAGGUAAGAUCCUUUAGGUGCAGCAGAUGGACGUGGAGAUGAGUUUUCUUCCACAAACGCUCAAUUUUUCUGCAAAUUGGACUGUACACUCCACCUCCCUCUACUCCCCCACUUGUCCAGAUUUAGGCUAACAUCAGAUUUUAACUAUAGGCCCUAUCAAAUAAAAAUGUUUUAAGCCUAGUCUUAAAAGUAGACAAGGUGUCUGCCUGACGGACUAAAGCUGGGAGCUCAGUGUUUCCCUUAGGAAUUUUUUCAACGGUGGUGGGGGAAGGGGGUGGGUGGGAAUUAUGACACGUCUCACCUUCAUGUUAACAUUGUUGUGUUUGAUGCACUCCACUUUAAUUUGCACAAUAUACACCAAUAUUUGCACAAUAAUAUUUUCUGUUUUAAACUCUGUGACACACUUUGCAGGGGGGAUUUGGUAUUAAAUUUUUCUUGGCGUCUGGAAAAACAUCUCUUUUUGCCCCCCUUUUUUUGACUUUCUGCACCCUUUAUUUUGGUCCAAGAUCUUUACUGGGCUGGCCCUAUCAAAAACGUUCUACACCCCUGCUUAGUAGACUUCAUGAAGUAUUUUUAAGCCAGUAUAAAAAUGACUGAAACACAAAUUUACAUAUUUGGCAUUAUUGACCAAUAUAUGUGAUCUAAUUUAUUUGUUAAGAACAUCAAGAUGCAUUACAGUGAACAUUAUAAUAAAGCCGGGCGGACACUGUGCGACUUUUUCACUCGUAACACAGCUUCAGCUCAAACUGUACGACUUCCUCGCAGGGCAGAUCUCACGAGUCAUGUGCUCACACUGUACGAUCCAGUUCUCGGAUGCGACCUGACUGCUCACACUGUAGGUCUGGUAGCAACACGUCGGACCUAAAAAUAUGCUACAUGUAGACGUUUUUACUCAACACGUCAGACUUUUUUGUCUUGUUUUGCCUGUUGUCCUUCGGGAGUGCUGCAGGAGGACACACAGGGAUUUAUGGGGUUGGAUGAGGAAAACGAAAUAAAGAAAGUAAAUCUGUGUUUUGUGGUCAGUUUAAUUUGACAUGAACACGACAAACACGCUUUCUUGACAAUCCUUGUGAGUAAAAAAAAAUGUGUAGAAACAAAAACGAACAGCGUGUGUUAUUAGGGAAAUAGCAAGCAAGCGGUGUUGAUGCAGGAUUGCGCAUGUGCCGUGAGCGGUUCUGAUACUUUUUGGGUCGCAGCUGCUCGCAGCGCCGCUUCAACGAUGCGAUACCCUCACGAAGGACGAGCAAAAUUUCAAACACGCCAGAAGUUUGGGCGAGCUCACGAUUGCUGAUCAGUAGCUGGUCACAUGGUGUUAAUCGCCUCUCGCAACCCCCUGUACACUACAUGAUGCUCAGCGCAAAAUGCGCCCCGAUCUCGUGGAUUCUUGCACGAGUGGAAAGUCGGCUCAAAAAAGUGAAAAAGUCGCACAGUGUAUGCCUGGCUUAAGCUGGGCGGACACUGUGCGACUUUUUCACUUGUAACACUCAGCUUCAGCUCAAACUGUACGACUUCCUCGCAGGGCAGAUCUCACGAGUCAUGUGCUCACACUGUACGUCUGGUAGCAACACGUCGGACCUAAAAAUAUGCUAAAAAUAGCAGUUUUUACUCAACACAUCAGACUUUUUUGUCUUAUUUUGCCUGUUGUCCUUCAGGAGCGCUGCAGGAGGACACGCAGGGAUUUAUGGGGGUUGGAUGAGGAAAACGAAAUAAAGAAAGUAAAUCUGUGUUUUGUGAUCAGUUUAAUUUGACAUGAACACGAUAAACACGCUUUCUUGACAAUCCUUGUGAGUAAAAAAAACAUGUAGAAAUAAAAACGAACGUGUGUUAUUAGGGAAAUAGCGGGUGAGUGGUGUUGAUGCAUGAUUGCGCAUGCGCGGUUCUGGUAUUUUUUGGGUCGCAGCGCUGCUUCAACCUUCACGAGGAACGAGCAAAAUAUCCAACACUCCAGAAGUCCGUGCGAACUCACGACUGCUGAUCGGUAGCUGGUCACGUGGUGUUAAUCGCCUCUCGUAACCCCCUGUACACUACACGACGCUCAGCGCAAAACUUGCCCCGAUCUUGUGGAUUCUCGCACGAGUGGAAAAUCGGCUCAAAAAAGUGAAAAAGUCGCACAGUGUACGCCCGGCUUGUCUGUGUGUGUGCGUGGAUGCCUGUGCCGGCCGAGCUAACUGAGCUUGCGGCUGCAGAGGUUUGUGUGUAGGGAGGGGCGGGCGCUCUAUGUGACUGGCCAAUCAAAGAGCGUGAAGACAGUCAGUUACUCAAUGAGGAUUUUCCUUCAGCACGAUUACAGAUUCAUGCUCGUAUUAGUCAAAAAUGCUUUAUCCGUACGCUCAUCCCUGUGUGGUGGUGGGUUUCAGGAGGCAGAAGAGCAGGCAACGGAUGAAAAAAUAAAAAUAUUGUUUAAUUGUAGAACGGGAGCGACAGGACAAACGAACAUGCACAAAACGACAAUGAUCCAACGAAGACAGCAACAAGGAGGGAGGUAUAAAUACACAAGGGAAUCAGGAACACAUGGGCAGAGUAAUGAGGGACAGGUGAGAACAAUAAGGGUAAUCAAGGCAGGAGAGACACAGUCAGGGAGGCCAGGGUGGAUCAUGACAGUACCCCCCCCCCCCCCCCUUUAAGGGGCGGAUACCAGACGCCCACAAGGCACACAGCACAGGAGACUCAGGAACGAACGAAGACUAGACUCGGGUACACAUGACCAGGGAACACAGAAGACGUGACCAGGGAACAAAGGACUCAGUCCGGGGCUGCGGAGCAGGGGCCUCUGGGAUCAGGCGGCACAACUCCGACUUACAAAGACUCCAUGUACUCAGUCCGGGGCUGCGGAGCAGGGGCCUCUUGGAUCAGGCGGCACAACUCUGACUUACAAAAGUCUCCACAAACUCAGACAAGGGUCGCGGAGCAGGGGCCUCUCGGAUCAGGCGGCACAACUCCGAACCAUGAAGGGACUCUCGAGCUCGGACCAGGAAACUCGGACUCGAAGACUUGACUUGGGACGGACCAGGAAACUUGAACACUCGGGACCAGGAAAUUCAAACACUUGGGAUAGAGCUGAAACAACUAAUCGAUUUAAUCGAUUAUAAUCGAUUAUUAAAAUAGUUAACAACUUUUUUAGUCAUCGAUUAGUUGUUUAAUAAUCAUAUUUUACCGCAUAAAGUCUAUUUUUUACCACAAUCUGACAUCGGUUACAAUCUGUUAAAUUUGCCGCCAGUGUGUGGCAGUAAUGAGCCACUGAUCUACCAGUGGGGCCGUAGAAGAAGAAAUUAGCCAAUAAGUGCCCUCGGUUUUCAUGACGUAUCACGUUACUGACGCGCAUCUUGCUGUGAGAGAUGGCGGAUCAACAACAAAUACGGAAGAAAAAUAGAAGCGACAAAACAAGAGAAACCCCGGACAAAAACCUCACGAGUAUGGGAGCACUUCACUAGAUGCCUUGAAAAGACCGGUGACCUACAAAAUAUGCAAAAACCAUGGCACGACGGAAGCACGACGUCCCUAAGUGAACAUUUGAGAUGAAAACAUGGGGGCUGAUGCAGCAGAGGAAAGUCCGAAAAAAACAAGCAACGAUGGACAACUACAUGGGGAACAAGACACUCACCCCCAGCAAUGCAUACCACUUACAAACUCUAUUCCAGAUUCUACAUUAUUUUUUAUGGAAUUUACCUCUUAUAUUUUGAUGCCAAAAAAUUAUUCUGGACUGAUAUUUUGCACUGUUUAGCUCAUUUUACACUGCUGACUGUGGUCAUGUGCAAUAAAAUAGAUUGCAGUCAACUGCACAA